CACGGAGGGUGCGAGCGUUGUCCGGAAUCACUGGGCGUAAAGGGCGCGUAGGCGGCCGAUUAAGUCUGGUGUGAAAGCCCGGGGCUCACCCCCCGGAAGUGCGCUGGAAACUGGUCGGCUAGAGUAUGGGAGAGGAAAGUGGAAUUCCCGGUGUAGCGGUGAAAUGCGUAGAUAUCCGGAGGAACACCAGAGGCGAAGGCGGCCGACUGGACCUGACCUGACGCUGAGGCGCGAAGGCGUGGGGAGCGAACGGG
rnacentral:rRNA from 1 species